UUGCUCUCAUUCACCAAUUAUAGUUUUGAUCAACAAUCUUAUACAGAGGAGAGGAAUGAUAGCUCAAUUUCGGAUGAGAUUCUCAGUUUGUUUCUAUCAAACUAUAUGGAUGAUGUGAUCCUUCCCUCUCUUAACUCUGAUCAUAGGGUGACUUGUUCCAUUGUCUUUCCUGAACAUGCAAUUCCCAAAUGGUUUAUGCAUCAGAGUGCUGAGAAAAAGAUCUCGUUCAAACUUCCCAUUAAUUGGUAUAAUGAUAAGUUCAAGGGCUUUGCUAUAUGCUGCGUGACUUGCAUGGGGGCAGGUGUUUGCAGUCCUGAUUCAAGGCUAUCUGGGAAGUAUGACUAUGCUUUCAUCAAUGCCAAAUUGAUAUGCAAUGACCAUUUGAAAGACCUUAAAGUGCUAGAGAAAGAAUGUAAAGUGGGCACAGCAUCUAGAACGUAUGGCUGGUGUGUUUGCUUUGCCUACAUACCGUUGUAUUCUUCACUGCAGGUGUCUGGAACAGAUGUUAGAGACAUUAACCAUUAUAGCCUAUUCGAGGCAUCUAUCCCUGGGCGCAUUGUGAGACAGUGGGGAGUUCAUAUAAUCUAUGAGGAUGGAAUACAGAAGUAUUGGUUUCGCACGACUUAAGCAGAAGUAGCUCUAUAUGCUGGGAUAUUGAGGUGUCCGAUUAAAUCCAGAUUCACACUAGAAAGUCCCACGUUGGGGCCGGAAAGCGCUCCCUAACAAAAGCAACUCUGUACCCAAGCAAACUCAAACCCGAGACCUCUUGGUUAAGGAUGAAGGAGUACUUACCAGUCCACUACAACCCUUGUUGGUGGCUAUGUCACACAAUUAUUGAAACAAUGGGAUAUGUUUCAUGAAGCACAAGUGUCAAAGUACUUGUUGCUUCCAUGAAUUUGGAGUGGAAAAUGAGCCAGAGGAAGUGUUAUCUGUUUGAGCUCAAAGAGAACACGAGCAUUGAGCAACCCGUCAUAUAUGUUCUGUAUCAGGGAAAUAAGUUGAUUUUCAGAUGGAGGGGAUUAUCUAUGAAUCUUUCAGUCUGUAUAGUGGUCUAGUAAAUGCGAUAACAUCGCAACUUAGGAUAGAUGUUAAUAUUAAGUCAAAUUUAUGUAUGAAAAUGGUAUCCA